rnacentral:lncRNA from 1 species
AGGAAUGAAAAGGUUGUCUUAAAUAUACAAGUUUUUGCCAAUUGGCUAUGCUAUUUGCCCAUUGAUCACCUACAAUCUGUUCAUGCUUCUACAUAACAUAGGCAGGAAAUGACGAGAACAUGAACUACUGUAUCACUAUCGUUUUAAAACACUAGCAUACGAGGAAAGAGUUUAACAUUUAUACUAUUACAGAUUAGUAUUCAGCUUUACAUGACAAUUAAUGACAUGAACCUAGUGAACUAACAACUAACAUAUAUAUACAACAUCAUAAGGUAUGAAUACAGCUACAAGACUUCAAGCUUUAAGGCUUCAUUUUUUAUUCAUGCUUCAAACUUUCAGCUACAUUGUGUACCAGUGUAGUUUGUGUACCUGGUAUUUAUGAUUCAAAGGAAGGAAGGAAGGAUCCGUAGUGAACAGGCAGUAACAAACACAUCACAACAACAGGUUCAGCAACAGAGAUUUCCAGCAAUAAUAGCAAUAAACCAGUGGCAAUAGAAGACCCAGGAAGGAUUUGAAAUCAAGCAGGACACUUUAAGAAACCAACAACAAUUCCAGAAAGUCCAAACAGCAACACCAAAUGUAUGACAAUAAUACCAGAAAGACAAUAGAGGUGAACCAGUACUCAAACCCAAAAAAUAUGGUCUGGUAGCAGAUGGAUAAUACGUAACACACUCAAGAACAACCACAAGCAACUUCAAGGAGCUAAAUAGCAAUACCAAAUGAACUCUAGUAAUACUAUAUGCACUCAACACCAAAACAAGAGGACCAUUUACAAGAGAAGCAAUGCUUCUGAUUCUGAAAACUCCAGGAAAAGCAAGUCAGCUUAAGUUUUAAAUAAAGACCAGCCUUAAACUCUCUCCGGAUUCAAAGAAGCCGACAGAAAAAUGCUCUCCGACUGACCCCUUUCUUUCAAAGAAAAUCCCCCCUUUUAUUCCAUUCUCUCCUCUCAAACACAUUUUCCUUUUCCGGAUUUUAAGCCUUAGUGGAUAGGUAAUCAUACCUGAAUUUGUCCAUUUAAAACAAAAGUAGUCUUCCACUAAUAGUUGUCUAUUAACUUUCCAAUCCCACUUAGAAAUGUCCUCUGUUGUUCAUUAGUGCCCUACUUAUUACUUAGUGGCCCACUAAUCCCACUAGUUCAAAUUAAAGUUGUUAAGGACCUACAGGAUAGACCAAACAGCCAAUCUAAAUUUCCUUAUUUUCUAUUUUUAAAACACCCCUGGAUCCUACUGGCUGCCACUGUUCUGAUUUAGAACAUCAGAAGACAAAACUAUACCUCUAAUUUUUGAUAUUAUCUUCUAAUUAACAGCUAUAGCCAAUCUUUAAUAAAGAAAUCACAGAACUGAAUCUAUAAUUAACAUUUAAACAUAAAACCAUCUAGUACUGAACAAAAAUGAAUUGAAACUAAUAAGCUCAGUUUUUCAACUUGGGUACCAACAGGCUCAAUCCAAUAACAACAUUAGAAAAGAAACAGGCUAAGCAAAACUACUGAACUUGAACAAUAAUUGCCUAUUAUCAAGUAAUUUUAUCAUUCAACCAUGAAAGACUAACUGACAAAUUUAUUUAAAUGAUUAUGUAGUUUAUAACAUAGAUGCAAUUAACAACAGACCAACAGAAUUAAAACAAACUAACAAGGUGAUUUCAGUUAACUUUAAUCAACCACAUAAACAACAAACACAGGAUAUGCAAACAUGUCGACUCCUGGCUUUGGGGUAAAACAAUGGACCAAAUAUGAACUAAUUACUGGAUGAUAAACACACAGUUCAUCAAACAAGCAGAAAGAAUCAACCAAAUAAAAGGUCUACUGAAGAUGGACAGAAUUGAAAGAAGAAUGAUAGAAAAAUCAAACACACUAAACUAAUCUGUAAACAAACACAAAAUAAAACACAAAUAAGAACCAGGUUAGCAGAACUAAUGAAUAGAGGCAUAUGCACAAGAGAAAGCAUACUGGCAAUUUAGCACUUGAAGCUACUAUUCAUGUUCUUCUAAAUUCUUUCAGUUUUCAAGUGAAUUCAGUUGACGACCUAUAAUUAAACGAUUAUAUGAAUAAUAUCAUAUGGCAAAACAAUCAAUUAACAGGGUGUAACAGGCAUGUUCUGGAUUUCAAUGGUUUAUCAGGGAACAUAAGAAUGAACUAAAUUAUUCUACGACUAAACACAUAACAAACAAUAACAGCAAAUAACAAAAAAAAUGAAUAGAAGAAAAGGACCAAACUAAAGGGUCUAUGGAGAUGAACAGAAUUGAAAGAAGAAAAUAAUAUAAGAAUCAAACAAAUCAGACCAGUCAUGCAAACAACAAAAAUAUAUGCAAAUAAGGAAAGAAGGAAAAAGAAGUACUUAUCUCUUAAAGCUCAAGAACAAACGACCCCAGGUCUCCAUGGACUCGACCAUUUUAAGUCGAACGGACCUUAAUCGGGGUGUUCUCAGUUGAUAACACCUAGAUUAAGGUCAACUAGACCUCAACCUCCCAUCGAUUUGAACAGAUUCCAUAGCUUUGGAAUUCUAGGGUUCAUGCGUUUGAUUUAGGGUUCGAACGUCUCCGGAUUCGAAGGAUUGGUUUGGAUAUUCGUGUUGGGCGUGGAAAGGGGGUUUAGUAGCAUAAAUAUGGUGACCGGCGGUGUAUUUGCCGCUGGGUUUCUGGUGUAAAGCGUUCAAGGGCUGCUAGGGUUUCAGGGGGUUUGUCUCUGAUGGUUUGAGAGAGAUGAAGAGGAAGAGGGUGGGGUGGCUUAU